CUGCUGCCUUCCGUAGGAGUCUGGGCCGUGUCUCAGUCCCAGUGUGGCCGGUCACCCUCUCAGGUCGGCUACGUAUCGUCGCCUUGGUGAGCCGUUACCUCACCAACCAGCUAAUGCGCCAUAAGUCCAUCCUCUACCAGUGCCUUGCAGCACUUUUAAUACGGUCACCAUGCAGUGUCCCUACCUAUGCGGUCUUAGCUGCCGUUUCCAGCAGUUAUCCCCCUGUAAAGGCCAGGUUACUUAUGUA
rnacentral:rRNA from 1 species